UACUAAUUACAAAUAAAGCCACCGUGUCUAAAGAAGCUUGGUGUUUACUGUUAACUCACUUUACAUCGUCUUUGCUGUCUCUUAUUCCCCCUCAAGCUUUUUUUUCACACAGAAGCUA